GCUAAGCAUGAUCUGAAUUCUGAACGGCGCCGUUUUGUAGGCACAACGUUUGUUUCCGGCAAAAUUCGGUGGAUUUGAGUUUAGGUUGCCGGCCAGGAAAAACCCCGUGCUUGUUCCUUGUUGUGCAAUCUUUGCUCCUUCAUCAGUCAUCAGAAUGAUAAUCUCAGUGUCAUGGGUCCCGAAAGGGCCUCGAGGGCUGUGCCUGCUGUUGCUGAUCCUCCUUCCAAGGAAGAAAUCGAAGAGCUCAUAAAGAACGGCGCUUUUGAUCGAAGAGUAAUGAUGAUGAAGAAGAAGAAGUAUGUGUAGAUGGCGAAGCUGAAAAUUCCGGAGAUGAAGUUGCUCAGGUGUUAGCCGUGGCGGUAAGAACUCUUCUUCCAUGGAUGUUGAUGAUGUUGCUGAUGGGCUGAAGGAACUUGACGUGGAUAAUUACGAUGACGAGGAUGAAGCUUAUUGCUACCGGAUCGAUGGAUAAAAUGGUAAAACUUUGGGAUAUCUCUAACAACCAGCCUUCUUACAUUGCUUCUCAGAAUCCGAAAGUUGGAGCUGUUUUCUCAAUAUCCUUCUGUGCAGACAGUUCCUUCUUGCUCGCCAUCGGUGGCUCAAAGGGGAAGCUACAAGAGUGGGAUAUGCUCUCUGACGCGGGUGUCUCACGGAAAUAUAGGAGCAGCUGAAAAGGAAGAAAUUUGGCUCCUGCGAGGUGCAGUCUUCAUCCAUACACCUCCUCUGAAUCCGACGUCUUCGAUGGGAAAACUCUCCAACUCUGGACACCAGCUUGCAUUCACCGUCCUCAGUUCAGGCAUCGCUCGCCGGACCACCUCCCAGUCCAUUUCCAGUUCCGACAGCGAACUCAGCAUCAAACCCUCGAUGCUCCAGUGAGUUCCACCAUUCCCUAUUCCCCAGAAUUUCUCGUGCAUUUUCGCCAAAUUCCCUGAACAUAUCGAUAGAUACC